GAUGUUCUCCAUUAUUUUAGCUAUCUGGGGAUUCCUUUCAUUUGUCUAUCAGCACUACCUCGACGAAAAGAAGAUGAAGACUUGCCACAAAAAACCUGUCGAGGAAGAUACACAAACUUAAUGAAACGUAGCUGCCUUGAAGCCAAGGUCACACAAACAAACAUACAAAGUUGUGCACACAAUCAUGCAUAUAUUCUAUAUAUAAAGCUUGUCUGUGUAAUUUCCAUAAUGGCCCCUGCAAAUGGAUGCAUGUCUCUCUGUACAGCUUGAACAUCUAUAUCAGUCAUGUGCAAGUCUCUUAGGCCAAAUAUUCAUUAUUUAAUAAGUAAAUAAAUUUUGUACAAAAAGGUGCCCAAAUUCCAGAUAUUUAGAACAUCUAGUCAAAAACGAAUUGUCUAAUACAAAAAGGGUGAACAAAGCACACGUUUAUUUGUGAUAUUUUCACUUUGUGAGUGUGACUCCUGAUAAAUAUUGACUAGUCAGCCAUAACUUACAAAGAUGUCAAUGCACUCUUCUGCUUUCUAGUUUCAAAACGCACCUAAAAUAUUGUGAAACAAGAACAAACAGCAGGUCAUGUAUACUGAAAAAAAAGAACAAGAUAUAUUUGACAGAUAGGUCCAAACAUCCUUGGGGAAACAAAGCUUUGAACAAAAAGUAAAUGGGCCAGAAACAAUACCAUUUCAUAAAGCUACUUGUCCAAUUGCUGUUGGCUGGUUGCAAAUGUCUUCUCUUGAAAAGAUAGGCGAGACAAAAUCUUCAAUGUUUUAGCUGGCGAGACAAAAUCUUCAAUGUUUUAGCUAACGCCAGCAUAUUCUUGAUGGCAAAAACAUCAAAACUAGCCAUGGAAACCCAAAGUGCGUUCAUAAUCCAAAUAAAUUCAAAAAGAGGAAGAAGUUUUACAAUUGUCAUGCUGAAGAUCACACAAUACUACAACUUGUGCACAUGUUCGUACAUGUCAUACAUGCGUAUGCAUAUGAAGUUUUCUAUUUGUCUAUGCGUAUAAGGUUCAUGUUUCUCCACAUAGUUACAGAAGAAAUGAUGAGUAAAUAUUGGCUAGAAAUAAUGUCCUCCUUCAUUUAACACAUCCCUUGGUCAACAAUAGUGGCAUCUUUGCAUGUAGGAAGACUACACAAACUAAAUUCAUGGAAAAGAGAAGAGAUAUGGUUGUCAUUUACUGUAUGUGGGGCCAAGAACAAUGAAAACUUAGACGGUGACAGAAUCCUAAUCACUGAAUAAAUAGCUAUAGCAUAUCAUCACACCCAUAUCAAAGGAGCCAUCAUUUGGUAGCAUUAGCAACUCAGAAAAUUGAUCAUAAGAUACCUCAUACUUAGAAUCUGUUCAGAACAUCAUUCGUUCCUCCUUGUCCAUCUCCAAGGAGGUUAUUCAACAUCCAUCAUGAUGGCGGAUCAAGAACUACAAGUCAUCGGUGAGUAAACCAGUUCGUUGUGAACGUACUAGUCUUUCAUCUUCAAAAAAGGAAAAAAAAAAUGGUUAUGAUUCUUAAUUAUUCAAUAUACAAAACGAUUGAAAACAAAAUAAACUAUAAACUAAUUUUGUGUUAUUUUUCAUCACUUACCAGUUCAGCAGGGAAAAGAACCAAAUCCAACAGUUCAAGAUGAAAGAAAUUCGGUCAGUAGCAGCCAAACAGAAGAAUCUCACUCAAACAAUUACAAACGGUGGUUCCGGGUGACUAUCUAUACAUUUUUUGUUAUUUCAGGCCAAUCAGUUGCUACAAUUCUCGGCAGAUUAUACUACGACAACGGAGGAAAUAGUAAAUGGCUAGCAACGGUAGUUCAACUUGUUGGCUUUCCUGUCCUACUUCCAUAUUAUCUCUUGUCACUUAAAACACAUGCAACUACUAAUAGAGAUGGAAAAAGAACCUCACCUAGGAACCGUGUAUUGGUUUACGUAGUGCUAGGACUUCUUGUAGGAGCAGAUUGCUAUCUGUACUCCAUCGGACUGCUUUACUUACCCGUUUCUACCUAUUCC
rnacentral:lncRNA from 1 species